AAAGGAAAUAGUUAAGUUACUGCUAAUAAUUUACUGUCAUUUUGUUAUGACUUCCUUUU
rnacentral:tRNA from 1 species